AUCACUUUGCGACCUUUUGGCUAAGAUCAAGUGUAGUAUCUGUUCUUAUCAGUUUAAUAUCUGAUACGUCCUCGAUGAGAGGACUUUAUAUUAAAUGGAUUUUUGGGCGCGGGAGUUGGACCCAGAGGUUGUUCCUGCCGCUCAGCACAUCGUCACGGUGUUGUAGUGCCUCCGGGACACUUUUU
rnacentral:snRNA from 1 species